AGAGAAAUUAUGCUGUUACCCUUCUUUAUGCAAGAACCCAAUGAACAUAUCUGCCACACACUGGGUACAAACUGGAGAAUCAAAGAAAGCUUCCCCAAAGGAAGCCAAACAUGCAAGAGUCUGUAAUGCAAUCUGCUAAGCCUGGUAACUCACUUGGAUUUGAGAAGUCAGGAACGGCUACAGUGAUGGCAAUGGGUGACCCCAGUUUUGCAGGAGGAGUAAGUUUAGGUGAGCAAGAAGGGAAGGGUGUUCCUGGCAAAGGAAACAGUAAAUUGUGAGUUUCGUUCAUCAGGGCAGUGACCUGUGGCCAAAUUGUGAAGGAUGAGUAGGACUAUGGAGACAAGAUAGGAACGAGCAAUCUGGGCAAAGGAAGCAGAGUAGAUCUUGACAGUUUCUCUCCAGUUUCGAGAAGCUCCUGAAGGGCAGGGGCCAUGUGCUGCUCAGUUUUACAGCCCUAAGCCUGGCAGAGAGGGAGAUAUGUGGAGCAAAUGACUGUUGAGUUGAUGAGUGGAUGGAUGUGGGGAGCAGGUACCCUCAUCUUCAGUCUGCAGAACCCAACAAUCUCUCCCAAAUGGGGCCAGAACCUACGCCUUUCUCCAAGCUCCCCUGAACAUCUGCAUGGGACAUUUGCCAGACACUAUGACCAGGGGUAACAUCUGGCAGCAGCUGCUUGGCUAUGUGAGACACACCAGUCUGAAGAGGAAGGUACUGUUUUUUCGUUUGGGAGCUCUGCUGGGAAAUGAAGUAAAUCUUCAUAAAGAGAUUACAAUAAGCUGCAGGAUAAAUCAAAUUGUCCCUUAAUAAAAAACAUGGACUGAAGGGGAAUGGGUGAGGGGUAAUGAACAUAUUAAAUUCCCCUUCGAGAGCAGACAGUCUUCCUUUGAUGCUGCUUUUUAAAUUAAGGAUUGCUUUGUAGUAUUGGGACCAAGUCAGCUGUCCCUCUAGCUACGUGGCUGAUGAAAUUCAAGAUGAAUGUGGCUAAAGCUGCCCAGAUCCCUGGUCUCUGAAGCCUUCUCCCACUUCUGGAAACUAAAGUUUGGGCUAACAAGCCUGUGGUUGUGAGAGCAUUUGGGCAAAUCAUUUUCAUCAUGUUGGAUUUUUUCAUAUAAAAAUAAGACAAACGAAUAGUCUUUUUUUUUUUUUCAACAGAACAACAGGGUAGCACGAUCAAGCAGUAUUCCUAAUUGGUGGACCUGGGCGAAAGUAAAUGGGCAGGGGGGUUCAUUCCAUCCUUCUUUCUACCUGUGGGUGAUUACCAUUUUCCGUAACAAAAUAUAUUUUUAAAAAGAGUUUCCAUGAGUCGUUCGUGGUCUGUAUCUCUUCGUUCUCCAAUUCCACUCUCCAGAGUUAGACAGGAUAACGACAGCCUGGUUAUUGUUGGUCCCCAACCGAGAUGCAAACCCCAUUGGCUACUGAUACUCCAUCUUCCCCUCUCACCCCAACUCCCCCUUCCUCGUCUCCCCCCUAAAUCUCUCCUCGGAGUCUUCCCUGUCAUCCCACGACAUCUUCGUGGAGCCUUUGCUCUUUGCCUUAAGAGGCAUUUGACUCUUUCCCGAGACAAUCAGCGGCCGCUUGAAUGACAGUGGCUCCUUUUCCCACAUCCCAGCUGAAACUCUCUAGUCUGAAGAUUAUGUCAAGAUGCUCUUUACUCCCUCCUGUUGCUUUCAGACCAUUUCUCCUCCACACCUUUGAAAAAUCUUUGAUUUCCUGUCACCAAACCUACAAACUUACCUGCAGCUGGGUCCUUCACUUCUGCCCUCUUUUCUCCUGUUUCAAUAUUCCUUCCUGUCCAGGGUUGACCUCUCCACUUGUGCUCUUGGCCUCAUUCCCCUCUCACUUUGGGAGGUACUUUUUUCUCUUACGUUGCCUCCCUCUCCUGUCCCUUUAAAUGCUUCUUCUCCCCGGAUGGCUCCUUCCCACCCAUGUAGCCUGCUGAACACAGCAAGGGACCCAGUGGGCAAUGAUUAACAACAUAGACUCGGGGCAGGGAACCAGGGACAAUUCCUGACUUCACCCUUUAUAGCCAUGUGGCCGUAAAAGGGAGAUCACACGAAUAUCUCCCUUUAUGGGGAUUAAAUUAAUGAAUAUGUGUAAAGCAUUCAGAACAGUGCCCGGCCCAUAGCAAGUUUUAUGGAAGCAUUUGCUUAAUGAUUCAACCUUUUAAAACACGUCUCUACUUUGGGGCACAAACCAAACAAUCAAACGGUAUGCUGUUCCCAGUUUCCACUUUCCCUUCCAGUCACCACCCUGAGCGGCCAUGCAGCCAUGCGUGUGGGGCUUUGCGACACUUCCCAUCUUCGCGUUCUCAACUUACUGCAGAUGGAAUUCACGAAAUCUAUUCUCACCGAGGGCGAUAUUCACAGCUUCCGAGUGGAAUCCGAGAGCUGCUUUUCAGCGUUUAUUGAUUCGUCGCUAGUGUUUGAUGUCACCAAUCAUCACCCCCCUUGAAAGGCUCCCUUCUGGCUCUAGGACACCAUCAGCCUCUUCUGUUUCUCCUCCUAACCAUCCAGCCACUCCGCCUUGGCCCUUUUCCCUUCCCUUUCUUUGGUGCAGUCCCUUACACGUGAUGUCCUCAAGGUUCUGCUCCAGGCUCCCUGGUGACUGCAGGCGCUAGCAAAGCUUUGGUUAUCAUGGCUAUGCGGGUAAUUUUCAACUCUCAAUCUUCCUUCCAGAUCUGGGCUGAGACAUGGAGAGCCAGCUGCCUCCCGGAGAUCAUCACUUGGAUAAGGAGCUUAAACUACACCCUGUCCUUCACAAGCCUGUGUCUACCUCUAGGACUUCACAUCAAAAGAGGGCUUGCUAUUUGCCACUCAAUGAAAAAAAAAAAAAA
rnacentral:lncRNA from 1 species